GCUUUGGUGAAAUCUUAAAUCUUAAAUUGUCAAUUCUGUUUUUUCCCCCCUUUUUUCUAAAGUACUUGAUUAGAGAUAGGAACAUUUUGCAAACCAAAUGAGCAAGGAGUGAUGUUUAAACCUCAUUCACCCUCUUGCAUAGUUUCAGUCAGGUUUAAUCCCACAUUCUUACCAGCAGUACUGAUUACUGUAGUAGUCUAUUGGAGAGGGGAUAUUCUGGGAAACUUGAUAUUGUAGGAAAUGCUACACUACUAUUUUGAAUUCUCAUACUCAUAUGUGCCCAUGCAUGAAUAGAAAUAGCACCAAAUAUCUGGGCAGAUCAUAACUCCAUAAUUGUAAUAUGGAAAGGUCAAUCAAAACAAAGAGGAAGGUGGACGUUGAACACAGACUCUGAGAGACAAAGAAUAUAUAACAAAAUUUAAAAAAUUAGAAAUGUUUUUUGAUGUAAAUAAAAAAGAACACACCCCUUUACAGAAUCUGUGGGAUACAACGAAAGCCUAUCUAAGAGGAAUAACAAUUGCAUAUAAUGCUAGAAAGAAAAAAGAAAGAGAAAAAGAAAGUAAUGGGUUACAGAAUGAUAUUAGAAAAUUGGAAAGACAAGCACACUUAGCACCAGAAAAUGAGCAAAUUAUAAAUAAUUAGAAAUUAGCU